UGUUAGUGGAAGCGUCUGGAAAGGCGCGCGAUACAGGGUGACAGCCCCGUACACAAAAAUGCACAUGCUGUGAGCUCGAUGAGUAGGGCGGGACACGUGGUAUCCUGUCUGAAUAUGGGGGGACCAUCCUCCAAGGCUAAAUACUCCUGACUGACCGAUAGUGAACCAGUACCGUGAGGGAAAGGCGAAAAGAACCCCGGCGAGGGGAGUGAAAAAGAACCUGAAACCGUGUACGUACAAGCAGUGGGAGCCUCUUUAUGGGGUGACUGCGUACCUUUUGUAUAAUGGGUCAGCGACUUAUAUUCUGUAGCAAGGUUAACCGAAUAGGGGAGCCGAAGGGAAACCGAGUCUUAACUGGGCGUUAAGUUGCAGGGUAUAGACCCGAAACCCGGUGAUCUAGCCAUGGGCAGGUUGAAGGUUGGGUAACACUAACUGGAGGACCGAACCGACUAAUGUUGAAAAAUUAGCGGAUGACUUGUGGCUGGGGGUGAAAGGCCAAUCAAACCGGGAGAUAGCUGGUUCUCCCCGAAAGCUAUUUAGGUAGCGCCUCGUGAAUUCAUCUCCGGGGGUAGAGCACUGUUUCGGCAAGGGGGUCAUCCCGACUUACCAACCCGAUGCAAACUGCGAAUACCGGAGAAUGUUAUCACGGGAGACACACGGCGGGUGCUAACGUCCGUCGUGAAGAGGGAAACAACCCAGACCGCCAGCUAAGGUCCCAAAGUCAUGGUUAAGUGGGAAACGAUGUGGGAAGGCCCAGACAGCCAGGAUGUUGGCUUAGAAGCAGCCAUCAUUUAAAGAAAGCGUAAUAGCUCACUGGUCGAGUCGGCCUGCGCGGAAGAUGUAACGGGGCUAAACCAUGCACCGAAGCUGCGGCAGCGACACUAUGUGUUGUUGGGUAGGGGAGCGUUCUGUAAGCCUGUGAAGGUGUACUGUGAGGUAUGCUGGAGGUAUCAGAAGUGCGAAUGCUGACAUAAGUAACGAUAAAGCGGGUGAAAAGCCCGCUCGCCGGAAGACCAAGGGUUCCUGUCCAACGUUAAUCGGGGCAGGGUGAGUCGACCCCUAAGGCGAGGCCGAAAGGCGUAGUCGAUGGGAAACAGGUUAAUAUUCCUGUACUUGGUGUUACUGCGAAGGGGGGACGGAGAAGGCUAUGUUGGCCGGGCGACGGUUGUCCCGGUUUAAGCGUGUAGGCUGGUUUUCCAGGCAAAUCCGGAAAAUCAAGGCUGAGGCGUGAUGACGAGGCACUACGGUGCUGAAGCAACAAAUGCCCUGCUUCCAGGAAAAGCCUCUAAGCAUCAGGUAACAUCAAAUCGUACCCCAAACCGACACAGGUGGUCAGGUAGAGAAUACCAAGGCGCUUGAGAGAACUCGGGUGAAGGAACUAGGCAAAAUGGUGCCGUAACUUCGGGAGAAGGCACGCUGAUAUGUAGGUGAAGCGACUUGCUCGUGGAGCUGAAAUCAGUCGAAGAUACCAGCUGGCUGCAACUGUUUAUUAAAAACACAGCACUGUGCAAACACGAAAGUGGACGUAUACGGUGUGACGCCUGCCCGGUGCCGGAAGGUUAAUUGAUGGGGUUAGCGGUAACGCGAAGCUCUUGAUCGAAGCCCCGGUAAACGGCGGCCGUAACUAUAACGGUCCUAAGGUAGCGAAAUUCCUUGUCGGGUAAGUUCCGACCUGCACGAAUGGCGUAAUGAUGGCCAGGCUGUCUCCACCCGAGACUCAGUGAAAUUGAACUCGCUGUGAAGAUGCAGUGUACCCGCGGCAAGACGGAAAGACCCCGUGAACCUUUACUAUAGCUUGACACUGAACAUUGAGCCUUGAUGUGUAGGAUAGGUGGGAGGCUUUGAAGUGUGGACGCCAGUCUGCAUGGAGCCGGCCUUGAAAUACCACCCUUUAAUGUUUGAUGUUCUAACGUUGGCCCCUGAUCGGGGUUGCGGACAGUGUCUGGUGGGUAGUUUGACUGGGGCGGUCUCCUCCUAAAGAGUAACGGAGGAGCACGAAGGUUGGCUAAUCCUGGUCGGACAUCAGGAGGUUAGUGCAAUGGCAUAAGCCAGCUUGACUGCGAGCGUGACGGCGCGAGCAGGUGCGAAAGCAGGUCAUAGUGAUCCGGUGGUUCUGAAUGGAAGGGCCAUCGCUCAACGGAUAAAAGGUACUCCGGGGAUAACAGGCUGAUACCGCCCAAGAGUUCAUAUCGACGGCGGUGUUUGGCACCUCGAUGUCGGCUCAUCACAUCCUGGGGCUGAAGUAGGUCCCAAGGGUAUGGCUGUUCGCCAUUUAAAGUGGUACGCGAGCUGGGUUUAGAACGUCGUGAGACAGUUCGGUCCCUAUCUGCCGUGGGCGCUGGAGAACUGAGGGGGGCUGCUCCUAGUACGAGAGGACCGGAGUGGACGCAUCACUGGUGUUCGGGUUGUCAUGCCAAUGGCACUGCCCGGUAGCUAAAUGCGGAAGAGAUAAGUGCUGAAAGCAUCUAAGCACGAAACUUGCCCCGAGAUGAGUUCUCCCUGAGACUUAGAGUCUCCUGAAGGAACGUUGAAGACGACGACGUUGAUAGGCCGGGUGUGUAAGCGCAGCGAUGCGUUGAGCUAACCGGUACUAAUGAACCGUGAGGCUUAACCUUACAACGCCGAAG
rnacentral:rRNA from 1 species